CCUACGGGUGGCAGCAGUGGGGAAUAUUGGGCAAUGGAGGAAACUCUGACCCAGCCACGCCGCGUGAAUGAUGAAGGCCUUCGGAUUGUAAAGUUUUUUUCUAAGGGAAGUAGAAAGUGACGGUACCUCAGGAAUAAGCCUCGGCUAACUACGGGCCAGCAGCCGCGGUAAUACGUAGGAGGCGAGCGUUAACCGGAAUGACUGGGCGUAAAGGGUGCGUAGGUGGUUUGGCAAGUUAGUAGCGUAACUCCAAGGCUCAACCUUGGAACUACUACUAAAACUGGUAGACUUGAGUGCAGGAGAGGCAGCCGGAAUUCGUAGUGUAGCGGUGAAAUGCGUAGAUAUUAGGAGGAACACCAGUGGCGAAGGCGGGUUACUAGACUGUAACUGACACUGAGGCACGAAAGCGUGGGGAGCAAACAGGAUUAGAUACCCCUGUAGUC
rnacentral:rRNA from 1 species